CGGGGCAUGACGCAGUCUGGUAGCGUGCCUGCUUUGGGAGCAGGAUGUCGGGAGUUCGAAUCUCUCUGCCCCGACCA
rnacentral:tRNA from 1 species